rnacentral:rRNA from 1 species
GACGAACGCUGGCGGCGUGCUUAACACAUGCAAGUCGAACGGAAAAGCCCUGCUUUUGUGGGGUGCUCGAGUGGCGAAAGGGUGAGUAACACGUGAGUAACCUGCCCUUGACUUUGGGAUAACUUCAGGAAACUGGGGCUAAUACCGGAUAGGAGCUCCUGCUGCAUGGUGGGGGUUGGAAAGUUUCGGCGGUUGGGGAUGGACUCGCGGCUUAUCAGCUUGUUGGUGGGGUAGUGGCUUACCAAGGCUUUGACGGGUAGCCGGCCUGAGAGGGUGACCGGCCACAUUGGGACUGAGAUACGGCCCAGACUCCUACGGGAGGCAGCAGUGGGGAAUAUUGCACAAUGGGCGGAAGCCUGAUGCAGCAACGCCGCGUGCGGGAUGACGGCCUUCGGGUUGUAAACCGCUUUCGCCUGUGACGAAGCGUGAGUGACGGUAAUGGGUAAAGAAGCACCGGCUAACUACGUG